rnacentral:rRNA from 1 species
GACGAACGCUGGCGGCAGGCCUAACACAUGCAAGUCGAGCGAGCGGCGGAGGGGUGAGUAAUGCCUGGGAAUUGCCACGUCGCGGGGGAUAACAGUUGGAAACGACCGAUAAUACCGCAUACCGUUGGAUUUCCCAGGGUGGUUUAGCUAGUUGGUGAGGUAAGGGAUCACAAAGGCGACGAUCCCUAGCUGGUCUGAGGGGAUGAUAAGCCACACUGGAACUGAGACACGGUCCAGACUCCUACGGGAGGCAGCAGUGGGGAAUAUUGCACAAUGGGGGAAAGCCUGAUGCAGCCAUGCCGCGUGUGUGAAGAAGGCCUUCGGGUUGUAAAGCACUUUCAGCGGGGAGGCGUUACUCGCAGAAGAAGCACCGGCUAACUCCGUGCCAGCAGCCGCGGUAAUAC